GAAGCUGCUCUCUGCUGGACUGGGGAGUCCACACUGUACACUGGAAACUCUCAGCCUCAAUGGCUGUCAUCUGUCAGAGAGAUGCUGUGAAGCUCUGGCCUCAGUUCUCAGCUCCAACUCCUCUAGUCUGAAAGAGCUGGACCUGGGUACCAAUCAUCUGCAGGAUUCAGGAGUGAAGCUGCUCUCUGCUGGACUGGGGAGUCCACACUGUACACUGGAAACUCUCAGCCUCAAUGGCUGUCAUCUGUCAGAGAGAUGCUGUGAAGCUCUGGCCUCAGUUCUCAGCUCCAACUCCUCUAGUCUGAAAGAGCUGGACCUGGGUACCAAUCAUCUGCAGGAUUCAGGAGUGAAGCUGCUCUCUGCUGGACUGGGGAGUCCACACUGUACACUGGAAACUCUCAGUUUGAAAGGCUGUCAGCUGUCAGAGAAAUGCUGCGAAGCUCUGGCCUCAGUUCUCAGCUCAGACUCCUCUAGUCUGAGGGAGCUGGACCUGAGUACCAAUGAUCUGCAGGAUUCAGGAGUGAAGCUGCUCUCUGCUGGACUGGGGAGUCCACACUGUACACUGGAAACUCUCAGGUCAGUUUCACUCAAUGGUCAAACAGUUCCACCACAAGUUCCAAAUCAGACCAGAUUUACCUCCAGUAAUAAUUCUGUGUGUGUGUGUGUGUGUGUGUGUGUGUGUGUGUGUGUGUGUGUG